UAUGUAUACCGGAGAGUCAAUGCCGUGUUCGCUGGGAACAGGUUCUUGUUUAGCAAUAAGAACGAGAUGGUAGCCAAGUUCGCUGAAGAAGCUGUUGAAGUCAAGCUUGGUUGAUGCAGUUGGUGGUGACGCUAAGAGGAUGAGGAUGAUACUCUUGACACUCACUGAUCGAGAUGCACUCAAAGCGGUUCAUAGACAGGAUGGAUUUGGCCACACGAAACCAUAUUAGGACACACUGGGAAGGUAUAUUAGGAUACUCUUAACAUUUGCUUGUGACUGCAGAUGCAUCUUGUAGUCAUGAUAUUCUCGACAACAUGCUGCUGUUUCUCUUUGGUAGUCAUGACACUAAUACAUCAGUCAUAACAUGUAUCAUGAAGUAUCUUGUAGAAUUUCCGCAAGAGUACAAAAUGUUUUAGAAAGAGCAGGUUGAUAUUGCCAAGUCUAAAGAACCAGGAGAGUUGUUGAAAUGGGAGUACUUUCAGAAAAUGAGAUGCUCAUGGAAUGUGAUCUCUGAAGUUCUGAGCUGAUGCUGCCUAUGCGUGGUACUUUUAGAGAGGUUUUAGAUGAUUUCACCUAUGCAGGUUAUACAAUCCCAAUACGAUGGAAGCUACACUGGAGUCCUGUCUCAACAACUAAUGACCCAGUUCUCUUCUCAAAUGCAGAAGACUUUGAUCACUCCAGGUAUGAAGGAGCAGGACACCUGCCCCAUAUUCGCGUGCUCCAUUUGGUGGGGGAGCAAGGAUUUGCAUGGGGAAUGAAUACGCUAGACCACAAAUACUCGUGUUCCUGCAUAAUAUUGUGAAGAGAUUGAAAUGGGAUUUGCUGAUUCGUGAUGAGAGACUUACAUGUCAUCCCUUGCCUGCACCAUCCCAAGGUUUCCAAUUCGUCUUCACUGACACCAAUCCUCGGCCUAAGAUCAUGGUCACUUUCAUGACCGUACUCAUGUUGAAAGUACAAUAUUUCCAAUUAGUUUGGCUGUUAAAUAGUACUAUUUAUUUCUCAUAUUCAACAAGUCCACAAUCCAGAACUGAGAAUCCUAAUUCUGAUGUUCAAAGAAACAGGUUUAUCUUGUUCUCAUAUCUUUUUCGUUUGAAUGUGUCGGACUAUUAUGCGUGUGAUUGCGUAAACUCGACUUAUGGGAUUGUGUAGGCUUGAGUUAUGGCUUAAUACGAGGGACUCGAUACGAGGCUUAAUCUGUGAGAUUGUUUGAUGACAUUGGCUAUUCAAGAGUCAAGUAUUGUGCAUAAAUAGGAUUAUAACUCUUCAAAUUUAUGUAAGUUAAUCAAGAUGUACUCUUUAU